rnacentral:misc_RNA from 1 species
GAUGAAGAACGCAGCGAAAUGCGAUAAGUAAUGUGAAUUGCAGAAUUCAGUGAAUCAUCGAAUCUUUGAACGCACAUUGCGCCCGCCAGUAUUCUGGCGGGCAUGCCUGUCCGAGCGUCAUUUCAACCCUCGAACCCCUCCGGGGGGUCGGCGUUGGGGAUCGGCCCUGCCUCUUGGCGGUGGCCGUCUCCGAAAUACAGUGGCGGUCUCGCCGCAGCCUCUCCUGCGCAGUAGUUUGCACACUCGCAUCGGGAGCGCGGCGCGUCCACAGCCGUUAAACACCCAACUUCUGAAAUGUUGACCUCGGAACAGGUAGGAAUACCCGCUGAACUUAAGCAUAUCAAUAAGCGGAGGA